UACGUAGGGAGCAAGCGUUGUCCGGAAUCAUUGGGCGUAAAGCGCGCGUAGGUGGCCUCGUAAGUCCGCUGUGAAAGUCCAAGGCUCAACCUUGGAAAGCCGGUGGAUACUGUGGGGCUAGAGUACGGAAGAGGCGAGUGGAAUUCCCGGUGUAGCGGUGAAAUGCGCAGAUAUCGGGAGGAACACCAAUGGCGAAGGCAGCUCGCUGGGACGUUACUGACGCUGAGACGCGAAAGCGUGGGGAGCAAACAGG
rnacentral:rRNA from 1 species